rnacentral:rRNA from 1 species
CUCAAAGGAAUUGACGGGGGCCCGCACAAGCGGAGGAGCAUGUGGUUUAAUUCGAUGAUACGCGAGGAACCUUACCAGGGCUCGAACGCAGGGGGGAUAUACCUGAAAGGGUAUAGCCAGCGAUGGUCGCCUGCGAGGUGCUGCAUGGUUGUCGUCAGCUCGUGCCGUGAGGUGUCAGGUUAAGUCCUAUAACGAGCGCAACCCCUAUCCAUAGUUGCCAGCGGGUAAAGCCGGGGACUCUAUGGGAACUGCCUGCGCAAGCAGAGAGGAAGGAGGGGAUGACGUCAAAUCAGCACGGCCCUUAUGUCCUGGGCUACACACGUGCUACAAUGGUCGGUACAGAGGGCAGCGACCACGUGAGUGGGAGCCAAUCCUUAAAGCCGAUCUCAGUUCGGAUUGGAGUCUGCAACCCGACUCCAUGAAGUUGGAUUCGCUAGUAAUCGCGCAUCAGCCAUGCGGCGGUGAAUACGUUCCGGGCCCUUGUACACACGGCCCGUCAAGCAUGGAAC